rnacentral:misc_RNA from 1 species
GAAAUGCGGUAAGUAAUGUGAAUUGCAGAAUUCAGUGAAUCAUCGAAUCUUUGAACGCACCUUGCGCUCCUUGGUAUUCCUUGGAGCAUGCCUGUUUGAGUAUCAUGAAAUCUUCAAAGUAAAUCUUUUGUUAACUCAAUUGGUUUCUACUUUGGUAUUGGAGGUCUUUGCAGCUUCACACCUGCUCCUCUUUGUUCAUUAGCUGGAUCUCAGUGUUAUGCUUGGUUCCACUCGGCGUGAUAAGUUAUCUAUCGCUGAGGACACUGUAAAAGGUGGCCAAGGUAAAUGCAGAUGAACCGCUUCUAAUAGUCCAUUGACUUGGACAAUACUUUUAUGAUCUGAUCUCAAAUGAGGUAGGACUACCCGCUGAACUUAAGC